rnacentral:piRNA from 1 species
UGAACUUGACUACUCUGACACAUCCCCUCUC